rnacentral:misc_RNA from 1 species
AACGUGUCGCGAGCGAAAUAGUCGUGCGUUGAAGGGAGUUGAAGGGUGAGCUCGAGAGCAUAGGAGGGUCCCGACUCUCUGAACAGCGGGAGCCUUUCAAGGUGUAGGUUCCUAGUGGUUGGAGGUCUCUUCUGAUGGUACUGAGGGUGACUCAGCACCGGUGGACGAGCGCGAACGAGCAGCGCGGUCCCCGCGAUCAGCAUCACAGUCGCCGUGUCACGUCGUCAUGGCUACACGUGCUGUCACCUCGACGAUGAUCGCGUUUGUUCUCAUCCUACUCGUCGCUGGUUGGCCAACAGGCGGACGGACAGGCUUGGUCAAGUUCUACGAAUCUAUGCCCGAUCAUCUGCAACCGGACAGGCGAAUACCCAUCAACGAUUAUGCGAUGCACGGGCCCAUCAUCGACGACCACGACUUACCCAGGGAUCUCAGGAAGCCGUAUCCAGGCAAGAGCUUUGGACCAAUGGGCCCUAUCGAUGGCUCCCUCCCGGAUGACGUCUCUUUUCGAAGUCUGUCGUCUGGACAGGAGAAAGGGGCGAACUCGAUCGAACUUCUGUCGCCUCACGCUGUCGAAAAGAUCGAAAAACAUAAGCCGGAGUAUAAGAUCAUGUCUGUGGAGUUUCAUCGCGUCGAGACACCGUUUGUCAUUGGAAUAUGGAUCUUCUUUGCCAGCAUCGCGAAAAUAGGCUUCCACAUGACGCCGAAGCUCAGCAAGAUCUUUCCGGAAUCCUGUUUGCUGAUCGUUGUCGGCGUGGUGGUUGGUGUCCUACUGUUCCAGGCGAGCAGUGUCCACGUGUCGCCUCUCACUCCCGACACAUUCUUCCUCUACAUGCUGCCGCCUAUUAUCCUGGAUGCUGGAUACUUCAUGCCGAAUCGACUGUUCUUCGACCAUCUGGGAACUAUACUUCUGUUCGCCGUCGUUGGGACUAUAUUUAACACUUUGUCGAUAGGUGCUUCGUUGUGGGUGUUGGGUAAAAGUGGCCUUUUCGGAUUCGAAACACCACUUUUGCAAAUGUUCCUGUUCUCCGCGUUGAUCAGCGCAGUUGAUCCUGUCGCCGUGUUAGCUGUCUUCGAAGAAAUCCACGUGAAUGAAAUCUUGUAUAUCGUUGUUUUUGGGGAGAGCUUAUUGAACGACGCUGUCACCGUGGUGCUGUACCAUAUGUUCGAGGCUUACAACGAGAUAGGGCCGACGGAAAUACUCUACACGGACGUUCUCUCGGGAUUGGCUUCGUUCUUCGUGGUGGCGAUCGGUGGCACGAUAAUAGGGGUGAUAUGGGGCUUUGGUACCGGUUUUGUUACAAGGUUCACCCACCAGGUUCGCGUGAUCGAGCCCAUCUUCAUAUUCGUCAUGGCUUACCUGGCCUACCUAAACGCCGAGAUCUUUCAUAUGUCCAGCAUACUGGCGAUCACCUUCUGCGGCAUCACCAUGAAGAAUUACGUGGAGGCGAAUAUAUCGCACAAGUCGCACACCACGGUCAAAUACACGAUGAAAAUGCUGUCAAGCAGCUCGGAAACCAUCAUAUUUAUGUUCCUCGGGGUGGCGACCGUGAACAACCAUCACGACUGGAACACGUGGUUCGUCGUCAUGACCAUCGUCUUCUGCUCGAUCUAUCGCAUCGUCGGCGUGAUCUUCUUGACAGCGUUGGCUAAUCAAUUCCGACUGCACAAGCUGAACAAGGUGGAGAAAUUCGUGAUGUCUUACGGUGGUUUGCGAGGUGCCGUAGCAUUUGCUCUGGUCUUACUGAUCGAUCCGAAACACGUGUCUUUACAACCGAUGUUCGUCACUACCACGAUCGCAGUCAUUUAUUUCACAGUAUUCAUACAGGGAAUCACGAUCAAGCCCCUCGUAAAGAUCCUGAAUGUGAAACGAGCCGAAAAGAAGAAGCCGACCAUGAACGAGAGGAUCCACGAAAGGAUAAUAGACCACGUGAUGGCUGGGAUCGAGGACAUUUUGGGCAAGCAUGGCAAUUAUCACGUUCGGGAUAAAUUCAAACGGUUCGAUAAUAAAUUUAUUCGUCCGUAUCUGGUGAGGAAUCACUACGGUGCCGAGCCGAAAAUAUUGGAAACGUAUUCGAAACUCGCUAUGAAAGACGCUCUGGAUUACAUCAGAAGGAACGCGUCCACCAUCGGCAAUAUCAGUGGAACUGAAAGCAUGUCCGCUAUAUUUCGCAACUAUAGCAACACGGGACAAUUCAAUGGAAGUCCAAGUUGCAGCCAGCUCGAAGCGGGCUGGAAUAUUGAUCUCCAAGAAUUGGAGUACAACCCUUCCAAGAAGGACUUGACGGACGCCAGGAUCCACCAUCUAUUGGCCGAAGAACUUUGCAAGCCGUACAAGAGGCAUGGAACAAAACUGUUGCAGCAUCGGCGUUUAAGCUACAGCCGACACGCGGUGAACGAUCGCGACCUGUCAACCCAAGUCAAUUACAAAAUGCACAUGAACAUAAGACGGAUGAUGGGAGAGCACAAGCAUCGUCACAAGCGCAGUAAAAAAUUGCUCAAAGAUGGUAAGCAGAAUCACGUGAGUUUUCCUGAGUUCCAGCAAAACGGAUCAACCAAAUUGUUCACUCAAGAUUACAUCAAUGGUGUCCUGUACGAGCUGGAAAACGGAGAUACUUCAAAGCCUUCGAGCAAGGAGGACUGGGACUCUGCGAUUACCUUCACGGCUCGCACUUCCGAUUCGUUGAACGUGAAUACGGAUGGCCACCACGGCGUCACCACCACUACCUCAAUGGACACCAUAAAUACCGACGAUCCGGAUAUGAAAUUAGGGCGAGACGAAAGUUACAGGGUAACAACACCAACAGCCACAGAAACUAUGUUGCCAUGGAAAAGGGAGGACGAUUACGAUUCCGGCCAUCCGAUCAAACAAAAUGAAUUUCCUGCUUGGUGUUCUAACAAAGAGUAUCUGGCUUAUAGUUCUCCCUCGGCGACAUUUUUAGGAGAGCCGUAUUUCUGAAGACAGGCCAGCUUAACGAGCUCGGAGGAUACAAAUCUCGGACUUCCGGCCGAAGAACAUGUGGAAUCGAGCAGCCAAAGGUCCAGUCAGUAAUUGGUCUAUUCCGUCGCGAGAGCGUGUGCACUCCAGAUGGUAUCGAUUGCCAGGAAACUGUGGACGAGCGUGAUGAAUACACGUUAACGGGGACAGAACAGACCGAAGAUUCACCUACAAAAACGUUUAGUGAAUAUGAGAAAG